UACAGAGGUGGCAAGCGUUGUUCGGAAUUACUGGGCGUAAAGGGCGCGUAGGCGGCCCUCUUAGUCGGACGUGAAAUCCCCAGGCUCAACUUGGGAACUGCGUCCGAUACUGGAGGGCUCGAGUGCGGGAGAGGGAUGUGGAAUUCCAGGUGUAGCGGUGAAAUGCGUAGAUAUCGGAAGGAACAUCAGUGGCGAAAGCGACUUCCUGGACCAAUACUGACGCUCAUGUGCGAAAGCGUGGGGAGCAAACAGG
rnacentral:rRNA from 1 species